rnacentral:rRNA from 1 species
UCCGAGAGGGACAAGUGUUGUUUGUUUUGACUGGGAGUAAAGGGUACGUAGGCGAUUAAAUCUGUACUAAUUUGGUAAACUGCUGCAUUUAGUUUCUGUAGAAGACCUCAUUAAAGGUUUAGUUCGAGUUAAGCUCAGGAUUAUAGAAUUUUUUUUAUAAGGCUAAAAUCUGUUUUUAAAAAAAAAAAAAAUGCCGAUGGUGAAGGCAAUGAUCUGGAGUUAACUGACGUUGAGGUACGAAAGCGUGGGGAGCAAAUAGG